rnacentral:rRNA from 1 species
AAAUGGGCAACGGUAGGUCAGCAUGCCCCGAAUUUAUCUGGGCUACACGCGGGCUACAAUGGGUGGGACAAUGGGUAUCGACACCGAAAGGUGAAGGCCAAAUCUCCUAAACCCAUCCGUAGUUCGGAUUGUGGGCUGCAACUCGCCCACAUGAAGCUGGAAUCUGUAGUAAUCGUGUCUCAAAAUGGCACGGUGAAUAUGUCCCUGCUCCUU